AUGGAGAAACAAGCGGCAGUUGAUUUACUUAAGUGCUUUUUAGAAAAGCGUAAGACGCCAGAGAUAGAUUGUCGUAAAGAGUUACCGGGGUUAGUGGCCUAUGGGGUGGCAAAGGGUUGCUUCAUUAACCCCGACACCUUGUUUGAGGAGGAUGAGUGGCGUAAAUUUGGCGAUAUAUUGUUUGAGGAAUUGAUUGGUGAGAAUAAGACGGCUAAGAAAUUGGCAAAGCCGUGGCGGGCAGUCACGAACGCUUUAACAAUACAUCGAGUAGAACAGAAAGUAGCAGCCGCUGCGACAGAGCGGCUGGGCAAAACGAUGAGGGCCGAUGAAGAAGCCAAUCCGUACCCCUUCCCUCCAUCGGUCCAACAAUUCACUAUGGAGCAGCCCGUGGGACGGGAAGCGAGGGCGCGACCCAGUGCGCCUCCUCUACCCCUGGAAACUCCCGAGGAAGAGGUGACUGGGGAAGGGAGAAAUAGGAAUCCAUUCUUGGAAGAUAUGAGAAUCGAGUCAGGAGGGUCGGAGAGAGCAGGACUUUGGGCGAGGAUAGCGGGGGAGGCAUUGCGUGAAGGCGAUGUGGGGGCAGCGACAGAGCUUGUAGGCGCCUUCCCCGUAGUGUACUCCCCACCCAAUGCCCAGGGCCAGAUAACUGUUACUAUGACAAAUCUGGAUUGGAAAAUACUGACUCAAUUGCGUGCCACGGUAAAUGAGUCAGGAAUACGAGGGGAGCCUACAAAACAGAUGUUAGACUAUUUGUGGUCCACUAAUAUAUUGCUCCCCGGUGACAUUCGUAAUAUCAUGAAGCUAAUACUGACGCAGCAUCAGAUUCUGCUGUUCAAUGCCCACUGGCAGUCAGCUUGUCAGGAGGCAGUUGCGGUGCAGCGCCAGCCCGGAGAUCCGCUACACGGGGUCACGCUGGAUGAGCUCUUGGGGGUCGGCGCAUACAAUCGCUUGGAGGCCCAGGCUCUGAUGGGGCCGGAUAAGGCGAAAGCUGCCAUGACGCUAGCUAGGAGAGCACUGGACCAAAUUAGAGAGCCUGGAGGAAUGCCCUCCUAUAUGUCCAUCAAGCAAGGGCGAGACGAAGCGUUUGGAACGUUUAUUGAUAGGGUUUGCCGCAGCUAUACAGGUAGCUGGAUUGCCCGAAUAUCUCAAAGGUCCUAUUCUCAAACAAUGUGCCCUUCAAAAUUGUAA
rnacentral:lncRNA from 1 species